rnacentral:lncRNA from 1 species
ACUGCCUGGCCUUCCUUAUGUUCCUCCUCCGCGACUUCUACUCCCAGCCUUAACCAGCCCCUGGGCAUGACAAGUCCUCAGGGCCAGUACCCACGGGGUAAGGCUAAGACCCCCUCCUGGAUCCCGUUACCCCUCUCAAGCCUCUUCACCUGAGACCCUCUGGCUCUAGCACAUCAGGAUUUGGUGUUUGAGUCUGUGUUCACCCUGCAUCUAGCACCGUCUUAUAGAUCAAGUCACAUGUUCUGUGUAUGUCCCUGUGAAAUCUUCUCAGACAACACAAACGACUUACAGACGGGGCCACGGAUGUUCUGCAACUAUCAGGAAGAGAGCAGGGCAGGGGGGCGAGCAGGAUGGGGUGGGGAGCAGGGCAGGAGGGAAGCAAGUGGGGGGAGUGAGGGGGACCAGGGCAGGGAGAGAGCAAGUGGGGGGUAGUGAGGGGGAGCAGGGCAGUGGGAGAGGGGGCCAGGGCAGGGAGGGAGCAGGUCAUGAGAGGGAGAAGGGAGGAUGGCUGGGAGCAGCUCAGAGAGAGAAAGAGGAGGAUGAAGGGAGCAGGUCGGGGGAGCAGGGGACCCUCCCGCCUGAGCGUCAGCACGACCGGUUGGGAAAGCGGUGCCCCCACGGAAACCACGGCCGGAGGCUGAAAGGUCAGCCAGCGUCGCCGCCCCCGCGGCAGACCCGCGCGGGUCCCACAUCGCCAUGCCGGUGGGCGCGCACGGCCCAGAGCCAGCCGGGAAGGCGAGCCCGCCGGCCAGAGCGCGGCGUGGAGGCGGCGGAGCCAGAAACGUUUCCCUUCUUAUAACUGAUCCUCCUAAAAUAAAUGUGAAGAUGUACGUGCAAGGACGUUUGCUGUGGCCUUACCCGGGAUGUUGAAACACUAGACUCAAGCUGUAUUCGUUCAUUCAAAACAUUUUGUUGAACGUCUGCCACUGGCCAUUGUUCUCAGCUGAAAACAUGGCAGCCAGCAAAACAGAAAAAAAAAAAAAAUCCAGCCGGCGCAGAGCUUCCAGCAGUAAGCUCAUAGUUCGACUCUCAUGGGUAGCAGUUACGUCUAAUACCUCCACAGGCUGGGACUCAUGCAGCACCCACAUCACUUUUUUGGAGAUAUUUAGUGGUAUGAGAAGACAUUCAGGAUUUGCUAAGUGAAAAACAGGAUACAGUGUUGUAUGAUGCCAACAUGGUUUUUUUCUUUUUUUUUUUUUUUAAGAUUUUAUUUACUUAUUUGAGAGCGAGAUCGUGAGAGAGAGAUCAUGAGCAGGUGGGAAGGGCAGAAGGAGAAGCAGCUUUCCUGCUGAGCAGAGAGCCGGAUGUGGGACUCGACCCUGAGAUCCUGGGAUCAUGACCUGAGCCAAAGGCAGAUGCUUCACCGACUGAGCCACCCAGGAGCCCAGCCAACGUAGUUUCCAAAAACAACAACAACAACAACAAAAACCUUUAUGGAGCAUAAGCUCUUCCUCCAGGCCACGAAUUCAUCCGGAGUGGAGGAAAGUACCUUUACAGUAAAGAUGUCGGUCAGACCAAGCCAGCAUCACCGAGCGUGUGGAGCGGCUGUGCCCUUGGUGAGAUGGUAGGAAAAGGGACACAGAGACC